rnacentral:lncRNA from 1 species
GGCAAACUGCUCCGGUCCCUUCCCACGCUGUGGGAGCUUUGUUCUUUCUCUGUUUGCAAUAAAUCUUGCUGCUGCUCACUCUUUGGGUCCCCAGUGCCCUUAUGAGCUGUAACACUCACCGCGAAGGUUUGCAGUUUCACUCCUGAAGCCAGCGAGACCACGAACCCUCCGGGAGGAACGAACAACUCCGGACACGCCGCCUUUAAGAACUGUAACACUCACCGCGAGCGUCCGCAGCUUCAUUCUUGAAGUCAGUGAGACCAAGAACCCACAAUUCCGGACACAGUAGGAGCCAGUGUUACAAAAAACAAAAGCAGAACCAAUUUCCUGCCUUCAAGGAACAUGAAGUCACUGAAUCCCAUCAUCUUUAUUGAGAGACAUUCCUUUGGAAAGAAUACUUCCAAUCAUUCUAUCAAAAAUCUUAUACUUGAAGAGAAGCCCUGCUGGAAUGAAAGCUCCAGAUGGCCUUGUUUCAGAGUACGGGAAUGGACGAAGAUAGAAUAUUACCAGAACCAAAGUACAAGUCCUGCUACAAAUAGGGUGCUUCUCUGAUCCUGACAUGAAAAAUAUAUGUUCAAAGCUACAGUCAUGGGAUUAUAACCUAUGUCUCAAAAAUCAUUCAGCCUCAUUGUUCAAGCCCAAGAAUUCACCCAAGGAUGAAGAGUGUUAGAUAUUAAUGUAGACUCAAAGCUUGUUACCUAUUACUACAUGACAAGGAUUUUAUGUUUUUUUUCUUACUUCAGUGCUCAUAGUGGCUUCCUACAUCAUGUUGACUAGGUAUCAAGCCAUUUCCUAGCUCCCUGUAGCAAGUUUAUUUCUCUCAUCUUUUGCAGUUUUCUACACAGGACCUGACCAGUUUUGCUUUGUGUCUUUUGCUAUGUCAUACACUGAAUGAGUAAUCCUAUUAUUCAAAGAGAUUAUUUUACUAAGUUAGUAUUUUAAGCAUAGCUUAUAGUAGAGUGAGCAUAAUUGAGCAACACCAAACUUUUAAAAUGUAUUUCUUACCCAUUUACAUGAAUAGUUUCAUUUAAUUUAUUGGCAAGUCUACAAGUGUCUUUGAGGGUUGACUUUCUGA